rnacentral:rRNA from 1 species
CCUACGGGUGGCAGCAGUGGGGAAUAUUGGACAAUGGGGGGAACCCUGAUCCAGCCAUGCCGCGUGUGUGAAGAAGGCCCUCGGGUUGUAAAGCACUUUCAGUGAGGAAGAACGCCUGGUGGUUAAUACCCAUCAGGAAAGACAUCACUCACAGAAGAAGCACCGGCUAACUCCGUGCCAGCAGCCGCGGUAAUACGGAGGGUGCGAGCGUUAAUCGGAAUUACUGGGCGUAAAGCGCGCGUAGGUGGCUUGAUAAGCCGGUUGUGAAAGCCCCGGGCUCAACCUGGGAACGGCAUCCGGAACUGUCAAGCUAGAGUGGAGGAGAGGAAGGUAGAAUUCCCGGUGUAGCGGUGAAAUGCGUAGAGAUCGGGAGGAAUACCAGUGGCGAAGGCGGCCUUCUGGACUGACACUGACACUGAGGUGCGAAAGCGUGGGUAGCAAACAGGAUUAGAUACCCGGGUAGUC